rnacentral:rRNA from 1 species
ACGCGGUCUCUACUCAAAAGUCUAAAUGACUCUCGGCAACGGAUAUCUCGGCUCUUGCAUCGAUGAAGAACGUAGCGAAAUGCGAUACUUGGUGUGAAUUGCAGAAUCCCGCGAACCAUCA